rnacentral:rRNA from 1 species
UACGUAGGGUGCAAGCGUUGUCCGGAAUUAUUGGGCGUAAAGAGCUCGUAGACGGCUUGUCGCGUCGGCUGUGAAAACCUGGGGCUCAACCCCGGGCCUGCAGCCGAUACGGGCAAGCUAGAAUUCGGUAGGGGAGACUGGAAUUCCUGGUGUAGCGGUGAAAUGCGUUGAUAUCAUCAGGAACACCGGUGGCGAAGGCGGCUUUCUGGGUCUUACCUGACGCUGAGGAACGAAAGCCAGGGGAGCGAACGGG